CAAAGUAAGAUCUACAAAUAAGUUAAUAUGACCAAAAUUGUCAAUUGACCCCUUAAGGGGUUAUUGUCCUUUAAUGACAAUUUUUCACAAUUUGUUCAUCAUAUUUGCUAACUUUAAAAAAUCUUCUCCUCUGAAACUGCUGAAUGGAUUUGAAUGAAACUUAGCAUGAUUGUUCCUUAGAUUAUCCUGCACAAAGUGUGUGCUUCGAUUUUUGAUCCGUCAAAAAACAUGGCCACCGUUACUUAAAAUAGAACAUAGGG
rnacentral:lncRNA from 1 species